rnacentral:rRNA from 1 species
GACGAACGCUGGCGGCGCGCCUAACACAUGCAAGUCGAACGGAGUCACGAGGAGCUUGCUUUUCUUGACUUAGUGGCGAACGGGUGAGUAACGCGUGAGUAACCUGCCCUGGAGUGGGGGGCAACAGUUGGAAACGACUGCUAAUACCGCAUAAGCCCACGGAUCCGCAUGGAUCUGCGGGAAAAGGAUUUAUUCGCUUCAGGAUGGACUCGCGUCCAAUUAGCUAGUUGGUGAGGUAACGGCCCACCAAGGCGACGAUUGGUAGCCGGACUGAGAGGUUGAACGGCCACAUUGGGACUGAGACACGGCCCAGACUCCUACGGGAGGCAGCAGUGGGGGAUAUUGCACAAUGGGGGAAACCCUGAUGCAGCGACGCCGCGUGGAGGAAGAAGGUUUUCGGAUUGUAAACUCCUGUCGUUAGGGACGAUAAUGACGGUACCUAACAAGAAAGCACCGGCUAACUACGUG